AAGACCUUGCGCUUUUGGAGCGGCCGAUGCCUGAUUAGCUUGUUGGUAAGGUAAAGGCUUACCAAGGCUUCGAUCAGUAGCUGGUCUGAGAGGACGGCCAGCCACACUGGGACUGAGACACGGCCCAGACUCCUACGGGAGGCAGCAGUGGGGAAUUUUGGACAAUGGGGGAAACCCUGAUCCAGCCAUGCCGCGUGAGUGAAGAAGGCCUUCGGGUUGUAAAGCUCUUUCAGCCGGAACGAAACGGUUACGGAUAAUACCCGUGACUACUGACGGUACCGGAAGAAGAAGCACCGGCUAACCACGUGCCAGCAGCCGCGGUAAUACGUAGGGUGCGAGCGUUAAUCGGAAUUACUGGGCGUAAAGCGUGCGCAGGUGGUUUUGUAAGUCAGAUGUGAAAGCCCCGGGCUCAACUUGGGAACU
rnacentral:rRNA from 1 species